CCCCCGCUCCUCCAUGGAAACCCCUCCUUCCGCCGAGGCGCGUCGUCGUCUGCGGCGGCGGCGUCAUCGGCGUCUGCACCGCCUACUUCCUCUCCAAGUCCGCCGGCGCCGGCGCCUCCGUCUCCAUCGUCGAGCAGUCCUCCGUCGCCUGCGCCGCCUCCGGGAAGGCCGGCGGCUUCCUCGCCCUCGACUGGUGCGACGGCGGGCCCCUCGGCCCCCUCGCCCGCGCCAGCUUCGACCUCCACCGCGCCCUCGCCGCGGAGCUUGACGGGCCCCGGGCCUACGGCUACCGCGCCCUCACCACCCUCAGCCUCACCGUGAAGGAAUCGGAGUCGGGCUCCGGGUCGGGCCAGCGGCCCAAGCGUGGGGCCCCGCACGACGCCGUCCUGCCCGACUGGGUCGACGGGCCGGGCCGGGCCGCUAGGGCGAUCGGGUCGACGGACACCACGGCCCAGGUCCAUCCCCAGCUCUUCACUUGGGCCCUGCUGGACAAGGCCGUGAGGGAUUACGGGCUCGAGGUGGUGAUCGGGAAGGUGGUCUGGGGGUGGCGGCGGCGGCGGGAGGGUGUCGGCGGUGGUGCUGGAGGGAGGGAGGGUCAUGGAGGCGGACGCGGUGGUGCUGGCGCUCGGGCCGUGGUCCGGCAAGUUCGGGCUCCUGUUAACGCUGUUCAGGGUGUAUGGGCUCAAGGCCCACAGCAUCGUCUUGGAGCCGAGAGAGCCCGGUGCAAUAGGCCCGGAAGCUCUGUUCCUGAGCUUCCUGCCCGCCACCGGCGGCCCGGCCAUGGACCUGGAAGUCUACCCUCGCCCUACUGGUAUGUAACCAUGUUUGUAAUCUUUUUUGUUUUUUUUUCCCUUUUAAUUAUUGUAUGUAUGUAUUAUUAUUUAAUUAAUUGUUAAUUAUGAUCAUUAAAACAUUGGUUUUUAGGAUGAAUUAUUUGAAUGGCUGUCAUAUGUACUGUCACAUGUCUAGGAAGCAAUUAUUAGUUUUUGCUAGCUUUGGCUUGCCUACCUGCCUACUGUCUAGCAAUAGAAGAUGGGGCUAUUUCUUUUGUAGUUUCCAUCCAAUGAAGUUUCUAAAUUUAGCAAUGCCUAGUUCUAUUCAAUUACAUGUUUAGCUGAAUUAUAAUGUGGCCAAAGUACAAGCAUUGAUUCACUGAAAUGGAAGGUCUCUCUCUCUUUCUGUGUAGCUUGAAAUUGAGCUACCAAAGUAGCCUUCAUCUUCCAAUUGAUGUAUCGAUUGUGGGGUUGGUUGAUUUUCUUUUAUUCCCUGGAAAAAAUAUCGGGUCAAGUCGACCUGCUCCAUGUGCAUUUGAGAUUUUUUUUUUUUUUUGAAUGAUUUUGGUUAUGAUUGAACAUAUUUAGGGGAAGUCUAUUUGUGUGGGAUGUCGUCCCGGGAGGAGGUGCCAGAUGACCCUGAAGAGGUCGUGCCCAACCCGGAAUCCAUAAAGGUGCUCAAGCGGGUGGCUCGGGCCGUCUCGAGUCACCUAGCGGAGGGCAAGGCGGGCGUGAAGGCCGAGCAAGCCUGCUUCUUGCCAUGCACCGAGGAUGAGGUCCCUGUGAUCGGGGAGCUACCGGGCUUGGAAGGUUGCUAUGUGGCGACAGGCCACAGUUGCUGGGGCAUCCUCAACGGGCCCGCUACUGGGGCUGCGGUGGCGGAGCUUGUGCUCGAAGGGCGGGCUCAGACCGUGGACCUGACUCGGUUCAGCCCUGCACGAUUUGUACUCUCUAGGAAGAGAUGAAAUGUGGCAUUCAGAAAUAUAAAUUGUGUUUGUUUUCUAUCAAGUCGAGGAUUUUCUCCUUUUUUUUUAACGUGAUUUUCUAAAUGAAGGUUUUAAUACAAGCAUGUGGUCACGUGUCUGUGGUUGUGGCAAUGCCCUUUUACUCGCAGGUCAGUUACGGAGGUGGAGGUGAUUUUAAGAUGAUGCAUGCUGUACUGAUAAUGAAGGGUUGUAGUUUUUGGGACCUAUAACAUGCCUCUCUACUUAAAUCAAUUUCCACACCACAGGUUUUAGUCAAUACCCACUUCUUGUUAGGAGUAAGUGUUGAAGAUCUAUUUUUUGGCUACUCAGGAGCUUUUGAAGUUUAGAGAGAGGGAGAGAGAGAGAGACUAUGCUUUUCUAUGCAAGUUCAAGAUUUUAGGUAUGUUGUUGGCACUUUUACGUGAUCUAGUUGCGAUAGCUUAGGGCUUUAGAGCUUCAACUACUACCACCAUAGCCUGCGCUUUCUUGAAGUAUUUCUAGCUACAAAUGUGUUUUUUUGGGGGGCUAACUUCACAAGUGAGUGCGAGACUGCUAACUGGUACUUUUGAAUGAGAGGUUGCUGAUUAGCUUUCCCUUGGUCUUUGUUGUCUGGUAUUGUCCUACAAGCGGCUGUGGUCAAAUGUUGUUUAAACUUUGGUAGAGAACAUCUCUUGGCUAUUGACUUUUGCAAGUAUAAUUCAAUUUUCCAUUACAGAAAAGUAAUCAGGUUGUCUAGUUUUACCCUAAUAUGCUGCAAUCUCUGCCUUCCAGUAAAGCUGCCCGAGUUGCUGGCUCGUGUGAACAUUGAAGAGGACACCUUGACGCGGUUGCAGCAGAAACUGCUCGACUUUCUCAAGUACUGAUUCAUACCUGUCUUUUCAACGGUGAUCUCCACAUCUUUUUGAAUGCUUCAUCAAUUUGAUAUUUACUCAAGAUCCAUUAUUUUAACUCAGCUAUUCUACUUGCAACUUGUAAGGAUGUACCUCUAAGAUCAGCUUCUGUAUCAUGCUUCAAAAUGCAGAUUCCUCCAGAAGAACCAAAGUACCUUCUUCCUUUCUGCAUAUGAAGCGUCCAAAGCUUCGGAAGGAAAAGGGAAGAGGGAAGAUGAGGGAGCCUAGCCUAGCCGGAGCGUCCACUGCUCCGUUUCCGGCAAUUUCCAAUUCAUUAGGGGACGCUGUCGGCUAACGAUUCUGAUGUCGUGGAAUUCUCUGCCCAUUAAAAGCCGGAAGAAUUCCUUUUGCUGUGUUGUUGUAACAUUAGCAUUGACUAGUUCAUUCUUUCUUUAUGAUCCGUUUCCCCUCGUAGUGAAGGGGGUGAUAGUUGGUAAAUUACCUUUAUACGGUUCGAUUCGGCGCGGUUCUUACGCUGACGAUUGUUUCUCAGACAAGACCAACUGUCGGGUAUUUCGAUUCAUCCAGACUCACUAUUGUACUCGACAAGAACCUCAAGACCUAGAGGGUCGAUAGCAAACACAUUUUAUCUCAAUAAGUCCUACUUUCUGAACGAUCUUUCUUGUGUAUUACUUUGUUCCCUCGACCCUUAUUUCGCUUCGCAUCAUUUUACAUCUUCAAAUUGGUGUACAUGAGUAUACUACAAGCUGCCGGUAAAUUCAUAUUCAAUACAUCGGUGAAUGCACUUAUUUUGUGCAACAAUUGUAAAAAGAAUUAGGGGUUAACAUGAUUAAAGGCAUGCAAAACAGAUCGCCGGAAUCAAAAACCAUCGAGAUUAGUCUAGUUUCUGGAUUGUUAGUCCAAUUCCUGGUUCUAAAGGGAACUGGUUUGGACCAACUGAACAUACUUUUUGUUUUAUUAUUUCUGUAAAAGAUUUAGUAAAAUGUAAACUAAAUAUUAUCUCGGUUUGAUUCCAAGUAGUGAGGAAAAGAAGUAAUGGGAAAAAAAUAGUUAGAAAUAAUAAGCGACUAUUUCAUUGGACCAAACCAAAAUCAAACUAGAUUAAUCGGUUCAAUCCCAAUUCUCAAUUUUGGAAACUGGAACAAAAACACAUCACUCCUAAAUAUGACAAAUAAUGUUUAACUAAUAUAUUUGUGACAAAUUUACUCUCAUGAAAAAUUUUAAAUUAAUAUACAUGUGAUAAAUUUAUCAUAUGUUAAUUUUCGUUAAAUUUUACCAUUAAAUUAUGACACCCUUCUUUAAGGUUUACCCUCAAUUUAAUUUGUGAUAUUUUAUAAUAUUAAUCUAAUUUAAUAAAAACUAAUGAAAGUAAAUUUAUCAUGAAUCUAUCAAUUUUGGAUUUUUUAUGCUAUUAACAAAAAAAAAAACAAAGAAAAAUGGGUUACGGCACUCUCAAACUCUCCUCAAUCAAAACAAUAAAAAAAGAAAAAAAAUCCCAAAUGGGCCUAACAAAAAAAAAGGCCCUAACGACACGUGUCAUCUUCCAAGCACACAACGCCCCCCAAGACAAUUUAGAUUAGCAUCGAUUCCCCAAUAAUGUCGACGACCGCCUCCUCGCCGUCGUCCCCCGCACUCGCGCUCCUCCGCCCAAGCCCAAGCCCAAGAGCUUCCUUCCCCGCCCGAUCUCCAUCCUCCGUCGCUGUCGCCGUCGCCCCCCGCUCCUCCAUGGAAACCCCUCCUCCCCCUCCCCGGCGGGAUCCGCCGAGGCGCGUUGUCGUCUGCGGCGGCGGCGUCAUCGGCGUCUGCACCGCCUACUUCCUCUCCAAGUCCGCCGGCGCCGCCGCCUCCGUCGCCCUCGUCGAGCAGUCCUCCGUCGCCUGCGCCGCCUCCGGGAAGGCCGGCGGCUUCCUCGCCCUCGACUGGUGCGACGGCGGGCCCCUCGGCCCCCUCGCCCGCGCCAGCUUUGACCUCCACCGCGCGCUCGCCGCGGAGCUCGACGGGCCCCGGGCCUACGGCUACCGCGCCCUCACCACCCUCAGCCUCACCGUGAAGGAAUCGGAGUCGGGCUCCGGGUCGGGCCAGCAGCCGAAGCG
rnacentral:lncRNA from 1 species